GUGAUAAACUUGACCAGCGCGCGCAUUGAUCUAGGAUACGCUUUAUCUUGGAAGUUACAGAAACUUCCAAAGAGCAGCCAGGGGACCGAGGAGCCCCGAGCUGGGCUCUCCGUUGCGCCUGGUAUACACAGUGCUGCCUCCGCUUCUCGGAGUUUAUGAUGUUUAUGAAGAUCCCCAACAGCUGGCUUCAAACCCAGCCCCUCCGAGAACCGUUUCCAGGACUCUGAAGCCCGCAUUUCAGCUUCAGGAACGGCGAGACAGCUGGCUGUCCGUGUCGGUUUGGGUGGAAUCGGUGUAGAGGUGGUGGUACCCAAACCAGCUCAGUGCCGGUGAUUUCCAACCAGCAUCUUUUGAAGGCACACUGUGUGCAUCGCCAUCAAGCGCUGAGCAACAGCAAGCUGCGGAUGCUCGUCGGCGAGAGCUGGAGGAGGAUCAGCUCUAAGUUGUAAUCUCAGGGUGGACAUUGACAUCAUCCUCUUGGACGGGAGCAGGUAGAGGAGAUGCCUGCUUUCAUUCCUCUUGGACAAUGCUUAGGGGUGCAACUGCUGGCCAUAUGGGUUUGACUUAUUCUUUCCCUAAGUCAAUCUUGGCCAGUGAUAUUGGGGCAGAGCAGAGAUAGCAGCAGUAGGAUUGUGUGAGCCGCCAGGCCUGAAGCCCGCAGCAUUUUACCUGUGCAACGCGAAAGGCUGAGCCUGGAUGGAGAAGAGAAGGAGGCGCCGCUCUGCGGAAUGCUCUCCGCGGCGCAUGCUCGGCGAGAUUUCGUGCCGGAGAACACAAACUACUCCGUUAAUUAAAUAGCAAAGGUCGAUGGAGCACCAUGGACAUUCUCUGAAGGCUGCUAGCCAGGAGAUUCAAGAAGAAAUUGUUAAAAAGGAGAACUAUCCAAACAUUGUCCUCUCCCUUUGCAGCCUCAACAGGAAAGAAAACUCAUAGAUGAGUCAGAAAUGCUCAGUGGAUAAUGGACCUCUUCCCUCACUCCACGUGCUCGGGUUGCGGCAACUUCAGGGGGCCGGCCUAUGUGUGGGCGAAUGAGGAGGAGGAGUCUAACCAGGACCAGCAGGUAGAGACCUCGAGAAGCCAAGCACUAUGAAAAACUAGGUCCCCGUCACUAUGCUCAUGACAAAGCCACUUCGCAGGGGAAAGGAGGAUGUGGAUGAUGUUGGAUGUUCUUCUUCCCCAAUCAGAAAGGUUCACAGCAGCUAAAGAGGAGGACACUGGUGGGAAAGGCUGAUGCUACUCUUACACUUUAAUGAGCUAUGUACAUGCCCACUAAGCUAAGGCCUUUGAAGAUAAAGGGAACGUUGGAUGUUCUUGUGUUUUGCAACACCCGCGUAAUGCCCAGGACAUCCUAAGUGGACAGUGGAUGUAAGACGAACAACAGGUUAUAUGAAUUAUUACCAAUACACCUACCUGCUUGAAAUACAUGUUGGAAAGUGUUAAGAAAAAUGACAUUGUCUUGUUUCUUUGAAAAAUAUUGAAAUAGACAUAACACUGUUUAAUCCGAAAAAGAAGAUGGCAAUAAAAACAAGUCAUCAGAAGGAACAACCAUGUGUAUUAAGAAGAUAUGGGGAUCCCUUUGCCUCAUCUUAUGGAAGUACAUUUGAAAUCUUGACUACCAAGCAUAAUACUCUAGAAAAUAUCUAUAAUGCAACAAAAGAGACUAAGAAACUUAUCAAAAGCUAUCUGAAGGAAACAUCAACAUCACUUUAUUUCAGAAGUAAGUUUUAUGAACUAUCUACGGAAUGCAAUUUAAAUUUUUUGAAAGCAUAAAGAAUGUGAACGUUUCUAAGGGGUUUUUACAAAUAUAGAACAUUAGUACCAUAAUAAAGGCAACACAAUAAAAUGAAACUACAGAUGGAUUUCUCUAACAGAUAUUGAUGCAAAAUCCCUAAAAUGUGUUAGCAAAUAGAAUUCAGCAGCUUAUUAAAAGAUUGAGAGAUACUAUUCAGGAGUAAUCCAUUGAAAAAAUUCAAAAUUUCAAUGUGUUUUUCCAUAUUAAUUACAGGUCAAGGCAGAGAAGCAUUAUGUUUGACGAUGUUGACAAGGUGCUUGAAAAAAGCCAGUAUCAUUCUUGAAAAACAAGUUUGAUAAAUAUGGAUGCAUUGAUAUUUAAUUAGCAACAUGGCAAUAGUGAAAUACAAAAAUGUUCCUAUUAAGAAAUAGAACAAGGAGUUCCUGUUGUGGUGCAGUGGAAACAAAUCCAACUAGGAACCAUGAAGUUGAGGAGGGUUCGAUCCCUGGUCUCGCUCAGUGGGUUAAGGAUCCUGCAUUGCCCUAAGCUAUGGUGUAGGUCAUGGAUUCAGCCCAGAUCUGGCAUGGCUGUGGCCGUGGCAUAGGCUGGUGGCUGUAGCUAUGAUUGGACCCCUAGCCUGGGAACCCCCAUAUGCUGAAGAUGUGGGCCUAAAAAGCAACAAAAAAAA
rnacentral:lncRNA from 1 species